UUUGAUACAUUAGAAAAUAUGAAAUAUAUCUGGAUACUUAUUUUAGCUUUGUCCCAGGGCAUUACUAACACUUUAAGCAGCACACAGAUCCACACUCAGUGGGAAGUAUUGUUUGUCCCACUCUGCCUGCAUUAUGGAGUGUUUCUACCUGAAUCUGAUCUUCUGUCUCUGACCCUGCUUAUUCUCUUAGUGCCUGUCGCCUGCCCUGAACCUCGCCUGAACUCUGACUACUCUACUCUCUCUUCUCGGAUGUUUCCCAUGCGCGUGUAUGACCUCUGCCUGCUUGACCCUGAGGCCUUGUCCACACGUAGGCGGCUUUGAAUCAUCUCUGUGGUGUAGCAUCCUCCUCCAACUUGUCUCAAAUCCUCCUCUAUCGUUUGGAUCAGUCCCUCCACCUGCUUCUGGUUGUUCCUGUAUUCAUCCUGCUGGUUCUGGCUCCAGUAUUUGUUGUCGACCACAUGACAGCGUCCUCCACACUUCUCCAGCAGGCUGCUCAGGCGUUUGUUUUUGGAGAUGUACGUCUCGAUCCUGGUGUCUUCAGAUAACUGGUCGCCGUGCAUGAAAACGAUGAUACAGAUACUGUCAAGUUUGUAAAAUAAAAGCACAAGAUAGCUCUGGUGAUUGUCAGUAUUUGCAUUAAUGAGCAAAUAAAUUUAAAAAUAAAAUGUU